AGCUGCAUUUAUGCAGGUCCUCCUCAGCGUGAAGAUUCUCCCAAGCUCUCCUUGAACAGGCUUGUGGGUUGGACAUGUCCCCAGGGAUGGGCAGGGAAAUGCAGGGCAGCAGCUCCUUCCUGGUGCUGGUUGUAGGACUGUGGGAGCCUUCUGGGAAGGCUGAGUGAAACAGGGUGUGUGACACAGCUGGCUGGUGGAGGCAGCUUCAAGCAUUUCCAACACUGCUGGCUCUGCCACGCCAGGAGUCCCAGGAAUGGUCACUGAGCACAGGUCCUCUGCUGUGACACUGAGGAGCAGGGUGAUGGUGGUGUUUAGUGCAUGUGCUCAUAAUGGGCCCAGUUCCAUGCCAGCUUUUUCUUUACAGUUCCAGCAAAGGGGGCACUUUAUGCAGCAGGACACCAAAUCUCUAAAUGUCCCUUCCAUUUCUUCACACGGAAUGAGCUCAAAGAUCCUGUGAGGAUGGAGGAUGCUGCCCAGAGCAGCCCAAGUGGCACUUUGUCCUGCUUGGAAACGGUCUCGCCAGGAGCAUCCCUCACACCAGUUUCUUCCAAAAUGAGGAAUGAGUGCAAGCAUGGUAGUGGCUGUGAGGCCUCACUGAAGACAGGAGUUACAGCUGGAAUAUGGAUGUUUAAAGCAGUUCAUCGGUCAAGAUCAGCCACAGCACUUCUAGUGCCCUUCCCUCAGAGUUUAGCAGUGCUGCUGCUGCUGAACACCCUGUGUGGAACAGAGGGGGUGGAUCUGUACAACCACCUGUGGCUGGAGGCCGGGCUCUGGGGGUGCUUGGCCUCAUUGCAGGAGAGAGGAGUAUGAUGGUCAGCCAGCAUCCCACAGCUCAAGGCUGGAGCCUCCUACACCUGAGAGUCAGGGAAGUGAGCAGCUAUUCUUUAGAAAAUAACUUCAGUGUGCCAAACACCUUAGUAACAGAGAAUAUAUCAGAUGAUAAUCUGUUAAUUCUAUUUUGCACAGGUUUUACAGCCCAAACUCUGGACAUGCCCCAGGCCCUGCUACCUCUCACUCUGCAGGGACAAUGAGCUGAUGGCUGUUGUUGGUUAUCCACCCAACCCCACCAUAUGCUCCUCAGCUCUCAGGAGUUACAGCCCUGAGCUUUGGGACAGCACAGUGUCGGCAGCACUGUCAGUUUCUUCUGCAUCUGAAACUGAUGAUGUGUUUUUUCCUUUCCUUUUCCCAUAAGCAAUGACUUUGAGAGACAGGGAUUUGCAAGGAAAGCAACACAUCAUCUUAACUUGCUGGAGUGGAGGCUGCAGAGCAAGUGGAGUAGGACAGAGCAUCAUGAGACAUGUGUAGGGCCUUGGGACAGCUCUGCUCAGCCUGGAAAUGCAGCAGAAGUGAUUCACAGUCCUGAGCCCAUAAAGUGAACCCUUCCUUUACUUGUGCUUUGAGGGAUUUUUGCCCUCUGAAAUUGCAUUUUCUUGCCAGGUGAAUAAUAUGACUUUUAAAAAUAAUUAAGGAAAGUACACAGGAGACAUUAUUUGAUUUUCUCAUCUACUGCAAAUAGAAGGCUUCUGGAUCCAUCAUGCAGAGGCACAACAAAAAUACUUUAAGCACCCAGCCAAAGGAACCAGCAGCUCUGGGUUGUCCAGAUCAGCAGCCAAGGAAACCUCACCUCAGACCGUCAAUCCAUCUCUUUCCACCAGAGAUGUGAUCAUCCACUCAGAUUCCUUUCUGCACAAGUUCCAAGCACUGAUUUAAUGAAAAGUAGCUAUGACAAUUCAAAGAGUAUAAUUCAGAAAAAAAAGUUAUGUAUUUCCAUGUGGAGAAUAUAAGGGCUCAGCUGAGCUGGAGGCAAUGGGAGCACCUGGGCCAGCACUGCCCCAGCCUGAAUUCUGACAAGAAUGCAACAGAGGUGCUCAGUGUCCAGCAGCAGAUCAGAAACUGCAAUCUUUGCACUCACUAGAAUAGUUCUUAACCAUUCUAUUCGAAAUUCUAUUCUGUUCUACUUACCCCUGCAGUAUCCAGAACUAGCCAACACUAACAAUUAUGCGAUGGAAGACAACUAAAUAUGGAGGAGUACCUAAGAGGAGACUAGGUCCACUGGCACAAUGUCUAACUCCAAAAUUUGCUACUAUAAAUGAGUGAUUGUCUUCUUAAUCCCAGAGCCUUUUUUCUUGGUAAGCAAAAUGAAGGGAAAGGGCCUAGUAAGUACAAAUCACUACAUUAAAAAUGAACUGAUAAUCUAUAAUCAUAUAUGUUUGUGUAUGGUCCCAUGUGACACUCUUUGCUCUCAAUUAGAGAGAUGUGUAUUUGAUUGCUGGACUGUUCAGGAGGUAAGGAAUUGGCUGGAUUGGUGCAGCCAGAGGUUUGUGGUCAAUGCCUUAAUGUCCAGGUGGAGGCCGGUGAUGGGUGCUGUCCCUCACGGCUCUGUCCUGGGACUGGUGCUCUUUAAGACCGUGACAGCACCCUCAGCAAGUUCGCGUGUGGCACCACGCUGGGUGGUGCAGCUGACAUACCUGCAGGAUAGGAGGCCAUCCAGAGGGAAGUUCAACAAGUCCGGGUGCAAGGCAGGUCAGAGCAACCUUAGACAUGAGUACAGACCAGGAGAACUUAUUGAAAGAAGUCCUGUGGAGAUCUGGGAUUGCUGGUGGAUGAAAAGCUGGACAUGAGUGAACAACAUGGCCUCAUAGCCCAGAAAACCACUUCCAUCCUGCCUGUGGCCAGGAGGGUAAAGGAGGGGAUCCUGCCCUUGUGAGACCCCACCUGCAAUGCUGCUGCAUCCAGCUCCAGAGUCCUCAGCUCAAGAAAGAUGCUGACCUGUAUGAGCAGGUCCAGAGGGUCACAGAGAUGAUCAGAGGGCUGGAGCACCCGCCCUGUGCAGACAGCCGAGAGAGCUGGGAUUGUUCAGCCUGGAGAAGAGAGGCUCCCGGGAGGCCUUACAGCACCUUCUGGGAUCUUGAGGAGGAUUACAGAAAGGAGGGAACUGGACUCUUUGUAUGGGCAGAGAGGACAAGGGGCAAUGGUUUUGAACUCAAAGAAAAUAGGUUCAGAUUAGGAAAGGUGUCUCUGCCCAUGGCAAGGGGGUUGGGACUGCAUGAUCUCCGAGGUCCCUUCUAACCACACCUUUCUAUGAUUCUAUUUUUGAAACUGUUCCACUUUACUCAAAGUGAGCAGUUUUGUUAUAGGUUUUGCACAGGUAGGAACACAAAGCUGUCUAUAACUCACUCCUAACUGCUCUGGAGAUUUUUUUUUUAAAUUUAUGAAACAAAACCAGCCCAUCAAUGAGGAAAACGAAUCUUUAUUUUUUUUCUCUAAAAGCAGAAUCCAUGUACAUGGUUUUUUGUAUGGUUUAGAGGUGGUAUUAAGAUGUGAAUAGUCACAUCACAGAAACAAUACAGAACAACCAGUGAAGGAAUGAAGAGCCAGUUUGACAAUUGCUUUAUCAAGUAGCCCAAACAUUUUUAGCUAAUGGUUUUGCCACAGUGGACUUCGGGACAAUAUUAAAAUCUCACCUACUCAACACAAAUACAGAGAUAAUGACUGGGAAAAGAGCUACAAAAUAUAGUUAUUGCUGCUGUAUUUGCAUUGCUUCCUUGCAGGAUGCUGGGAAAGCAGUUCUUAAAUUUCAGUUUCAUUAAGAAUGUCAUUUAGAUAAAUAAAAAAGUAAUGAAUCAGCCAAUCUCACAUGGUUAAUUGAUCUGAGACCAAAAGAAAA